rnacentral:rRNA from 1 species
UACGUAGGUGGCGAGCGUUGUCCGGAUUUACUGGGCGUAAAGGGCUCGUAGGUGGCCAACUAAGUCAGACGUGAAAUCCCUCAGCUUAACUGGGGAACUGCGUCUGAUACUGGAUGGCUUGAGUUUGGGAGAGGGAUGCGGAAUUCCAGGUGUGGCGGUGAAAUGCGUAGAUAUCUGGAGGAACACCGGUGGCGAAGGCGGCAUCCUGGACCAACACUGACACUGAGGAGCGAAAGCCAGGGGAGCAAACGGG